rnacentral:tRNA from 1 species
GCCGAGGUGGUGGGUGGUAGGCCACGCUACCUUGAGGUGGUAGUGCCCAAUAGGGCGGGUUCAAGUCCGUCUCGGUA